GGACGAACGCUGGCGGCGUGCGUAACACAUGCAAGUCGAACGAGAGAGUGAGAGAAGCUUGCUUUUCUUACGAUCGAGUGGCAAACGGGUGAGUAACGCGUAAACAACCUGCCCCGCAGAUGGGGACAACAGCUGGAAACGGCUGCUAAUACCGAAUACGGUCCUCUUAGCGCAUGGUAAGAGGAAGAAAGGGUGGCCUCUGGAACAAGCUACCGCUGCGGGAGGGGUUUGCGUCUGAUUAGCUGGUUGGAGGGGUAACGGCCCACCAAGGCGACGAUCAGUAGCCGGUCUGAGAGGAUGAACGGCCACAUUGGAACUGAGACACGGUCCAGACUCCUACGGGAGGCAGCAGUGGGGAAUCUUCCGCAAUGGGCGAAAGCCUGACGGAGCAACGCCGCGUGAGUGAAGACGGCCUUCGGGUUGUAAAGCUCUGUUAUAGGGGACGAACGGCCGGGUAGCGAAGAGGUAGCCGGCAUGACGGUACCGUAAGAGAAAGCCACGGCUAACUACGUGCCAGCAGCCGCGGUAAUACGUAGGUGGCAAGCGUUGUCCGGAAUGAUUGGGCGUAAAGGGCGCGCAGGCGGCUGUGUAAGUCUGUCUAGAAAGUGCGGGGCUAAACCCCGUGAGAGGAUGGAAACUGGACAGCUGAGAGUGUCGGAGAGGAAAGCGGAAUUCCUAGUGUAGCGGUGAAAUGCGUAGAUAUUAGGAGGAACACCGGUGGCGAAAGCGGCUUUCUGGACGACAACUGACGCUGAGGCGCGAAAGCCAGGGGAGCAAACGGGAUUAGAUACCCCGGUAGUCCUGGCCGUAAACGAUGGGUACUAGGUGUAGGAGGUAUCGACCCCUCCUGUGCCGGAGUUAACGCAAUAAGUACCCCGC
rnacentral:rRNA from 1 species